rnacentral:ncRNA from 2 species
AGUAAAGAGGGACAUGAUGAAGCAUCUCUUGAAACUGGGCACUUUAGAGAUGCGGAGUGAAUAGUGCAACCGACCCUUUCUUUA